rnacentral:rRNA from 1 species
GACAGAGGUGCCGAGCGUUAGGCGGAAUCACUGGGCUUAAAGCGUGUGUAGGUGGAUGUCUAAGUACCUUGUGAAAUCCCACGGCUUAACCGUGGAACUGCUCGGUAUACUGGAUGUCUUGAGCCAGCUAGGGGCUACCGGAACAAAUGGUGGAGCGGUGAAAUGCGUAGAUAUGUGGAGGAAUACCGAUGGCGAAGGCAGCCCCCUGGGAUAACACUGACGCUCAUGCACGAAAGCGUGGGGAGCAAACAGG